GAUGAACGCUGGCGGCGUGCUUAACACAUGCAAGUCGAACGGAGUGCUCAUGACAGAGGAUUCGUCCAAUGGAUUGAGUUACUUAGUGGCGGACGGGUGAGUAACGCGUGAGUAACCUGCCUUGGAGUGGGGAAUAACAGUUGGAAACAGCUGCUAAUACCGCAUAAUGCAGUUGUGCCGCAUGGCACUGACUGCCAAAGAUUUAUCGCUCUGAGAUGGACUCGCGUCUGAUUAGCUAGUUGGCGGGGUAACGGCCCACCAAGGCGACGAUCAGUAGCCGGACUGAGAGGUUGGCCGGCCACAUUGGGACUGAGACACGGCCCAG
rnacentral:rRNA from 1 species